rnacentral:rRNA from 1 species
UGGGGAAUAUUGCACAAUGGGGGAAACCCUGAUGCAGCAACGCCGCGUGAGUGAUGACGGCCUUCGGGUUGUAAAGCUCUGUCUUCAGGGACGAUAAUGACGGUACCUGAGGAGGAAGCCACGGCUAACUACGUGCCAGCAGCCGCGGUAAUACGUAGGUGGCAAGCGUUGUCCGGAUUUACUGGGCGUAAAGGGAGCGUAGGCGGACUUUUAAGUGAGAUGUGAAAUACCCGGGCUCAACCUGGGUGCUGCAUUUCAAACUGGAAGUCUAGAGUGCAGGAGAGGAGAGUGGAAUUCCUAGUGUAGCGGUGAAAUGUGUAGAGAUUAGGAAGAACACCAGUGGCGAAGGCGACUCUCUGGACUGUAACUGACGCUGAGGCUCGAAAGCGUGGGGAGCAAACA